GACGAACGCUGGCGGCGUGCCUAACACAUGCAAGUUGAGCGACGAACCAGGGCUUGCCCUGGGGCAAAGCAGCGAACGGGUGAGUAACACGUGGGUAACCUACCCCGAUAACCGGGACAACCCGAGGAAGCUCGGGCUAAUACCGGAUGUGCUCACUGGACUUCGGUUCAGUGCGUAAAGGAAGCUUCGGCCUCCGUAUCGGGAGGGGCCCGCGGCCCAUUAGUUUGUUGGUGAGGUAACGGCUCACCAAGACCGCGAUGGGUAGCUGGUCUGAGAGGACGAUCAGCCACACUGGGACUGAGACACGGCCCAGACUCCUACGGGAGGCAGCAGUGGGGAAUCUUGCGCAAUGCGCGAAAGCGUGACGCAGCAACGCCGCGUGGGGGAAGAAGGCCUUCGGGUUGUAAACCCCUUUCAGGAGGGACGAAGGUUCGGCGGUGAAUAGCCGUCCGGACUGACGGUACCUCCACAAGAAGCCCCGGCUAACUACGUG
rnacentral:rRNA from 1 species